UUUGUCUCUAAUUCCUUCCAUGUG
rnacentral:misc_RNA from 1 species